GACGAACGCUGGCGGCGUGCUUAACACAUGCAAGUCGAACGGUGAAGCGCUUGCCUUUUUGGUGGGUGUGGAUGAGUGGCGAACGGGUGAGUAACACGUGAGUAACCUGCCCUCUUCUUCUGGAUAACCUCAUGAAAGUGGGGCUAAUACGGGGUAUUCCGGGUCUGUCGCAUGGCGGGUUUGGGAAAGAUUGCGCCUUUGGGUGUUUUCGGUGGGGGAUGGGCUCGCGGCCUAUCAGCUUGUUGGUGGGGUGAUGGCCUACCAAGGCGGUGACGGGUAGCCGGCCUGAGAGGGUGGACGGCCACACUGGGACUGAGACACGGCCCAGACUCCUGCGGGAGGCAGCAGUGGGGAAUAUUGCACAAUGGGCGCAAGCCGGAUGCAGCGACGCCGCGUGAGGGAUGGAGGCCUUCGGGUGGUGAACCUCUUUCGCCAGUGAAGCAGGCCUGCUCCUGUGUGGGUGGGUUGACGGUAGCUGGAUAAGAAGCGCCGGCUAACUACGUG
rnacentral:rRNA from 1 species